rnacentral:misc_RNA from 1 species
GAUGAAGAACGUAGCGAAAUGCGAUAAGUAAUGUGAACUGCAGAAUUCAGUGAAUCAUCGAGUCUUUGAACGCACAUUGCGCCCCCUGGUAUUCCGGGGGGCAUGCCUGUCCGAGCGUCAUUGCCGCCCUCAAGCACGGCUUGUGUGUUGGGCCCCCGCCCCCCGGCUUCGGGGGGCGGGCCCGAAAGGCAGCGGCGGCACCGCGUCCGGUCCUCGAGCGUAUGGGGCUUCGUCACCCGCUCUGUAGGCCCGGCCGGCGCCCGCCGGCGACCCCAAUCAAUCUUUCCAGGUUGACCUCGGAUCAGGUAGGGAUACCCGCUGAACUUAAGCAUAUCAAUAAGCGGAGGA